rnacentral:rRNA from 1 species
UACGGGGGGGGCAAGCGUUGUUCGGAAUUACUGGGCGUAAAGGGCUCGUAGGCGGCCAACUAAGUCAGACGUGAAAUCCCUCGGCUUAACCGGGGAACUGCGUCUGAUACUGGAUGGCUUGAGGUUGGGAGAGGGAUGCGGAAUUCCAGGUGUAGCGGUGAAAUGCGUAGAUAUCGGGAGGAACACCUGUGGCGAAAGCGGCUCACUGGACCACAACUGACGCUGAGGCGCGAAAGCUAGGGGAGCAAACAGG